rnacentral:rRNA from 1 species
AGAGUUUGAUCCUGGCUCAGAAUCAACGCUGGCGGCGUGCCUAACACAUGCAAGUCGCACGAGAAAGUGGAGCAAUCCAUGAGUAAAGUGGCGUACGGGUGAGUAACACGUGACUAACCUACCCUCGAGUGGGGAAUAACUCGCCGAAAGGCGAGCUAAUACCGCAUAACACUUACGAGUCAAAGCAGCAAUGCGCUUGG